UUGCUCACUUCAGCAGCACAUUUACUAAUAAUGAAACAAAACAGAGAAGAUUAGCAUGGAACCCUGUGAAAGAAUGAGACACGGAUUGGUGAAGUAUUCCAUAUUUUU